UACGUAGGGUGCGAGCGUUGUCCGGAAUUAUUGGGCGUAAAGAGCGUGUAGGCGGCCAGACAGGUCAGCUGUGAAAACUCGAGGCUCAACCUCGAGACGUCGGUUGAAACCGUCUGGCUAGAGUCCGGAAGAGGAGAGUGGAAUUCCCGGUGUAGCGGUGAAAUGCGCAGAUAUCGGGAAGAACACCCGUGGCGAAGGCGGCUCUCUGGGACGGUACUGACGCUGAGACGCGAAAGCGUGGGGAGCGAACAGG
rnacentral:rRNA from 1 species